rnacentral:lncRNA from 1 species
UUCUUUUCACCAGAUUGGACACAAGAUUCAAAGAAACAAACAACGUUAUACAGAUUCACAAACUGGGAGAAUAGUUCCAACCAUUGACUUUCGGAGGCUCAAAUUUGUUGACAAUAGAUAUGUAGUAGCAUCUUAACUAAAUGAUCAAUUUACCCAGCCAGAAAAGCCAAGUUGAAACAGAGAAAAGACUCAAGGUGGUCCAUCGUUCACAAGACCCUUAGGUUCUUCUGUCAAAUGUUCAGCACCAGCCUAAACUCCUGGAUCUAUAGUUCUUGAAUCGCAUUCAACGAUAGAUUUCCCCAUUUCUCAAGAUCAUGACAUACCAUAUGGUUAGACCCAUAUUCCUUGAUCAGAUUGGCACAGAAGAAUCAAGAAACUACACGAAUCGAUUUAAAAAAAAAAGCGUCGUACAGAUUUAUAAACUGGGAAUACAUCGUCAUGGCAGAAGAGAAUAAACUCCAAGAAAUAACAAGAACCAAGAAUAUGACCACAUAGCAUGGAAGAUUGGGUACCUCGUCCAGGUGUCCGGAUCGACCCAUUGGCGAUGGGGAGCCGCAUGGUGGGGGGAGAAACCCGAGACAUCUGCCUGCGAGAGAACCGACAUCCCCCCGCCCCCUUGCGCGGCAAGACCAGUGGAUCCGCGGUGGCGAUCGUACCCGGUUUCGCCCGCUCCUUCUUGGAUCCAAGGACGUCCGCAGAACUGCGAUCGAGGGAACUCGAAAGAGGGUUUCGAUCGAACAAACUUGGGUGGAUCGGAAAGCAACGAGGAGGGAAAAGGGAUGCAAACCGUUUAAAUCGUGACGACGCUAAUCUUUUUCCCUUCGAAUCCUCGUUUCUUUGCGUACGGAAAC